AUAUAUGUCAGGGUUUUAAAUGUAUUCUAUGGAUUAGAAAAAUCUUAAUCUUCCUCAAACUCUAUCCCCCCAUCCCUUUUUAGCUUAAUUCUCAGGAAGAAAACCAGAAUCACAUUUUCUGAGGUACUUACAUUAGUUUAAAUUACAUGAGUAAAAACAAGCAAACAAAGAACCCCCCCAAAAAAAAAGGUCAUGAGGUUAAAAUGUCUUAACUUUUACGUCUGUGUGUAUAUGUACACUGUAUUACCAAAAGAGCAUAAAAUAAGCCUUUCUAUACUUUUUUCCUCUUUUCAAUACAUGAUCUAUCUACAGAAAAACAAUUUGGGGACUUUGCUAACACUCCAGGUAGCAUUUUCAGAUUAUUCUAUCAGGGAGUAUGAAAGCAUUAUCUGGUCUAAGAGCUUUGACAAGAGUUGUUUGAGUGCCAGCAGAAAGGACAUGAGUAACCAAGAUAUAUCAUUUACAAUGUGGCCUUUUUAUGACUCCUGUCAAGUUACAGCAUAAUCUCAAGAAAAUCAACAUCAUUUAAGGUUGCAAUGACCUUCUAAGGGCUUGCUUUUAAGACCAGAGGUUAGAAGGCAUAACGGUAUGAGUCACUGAAUAUGAUUGUACUGAAGCAAGUUUUAUAGAAUUCCAUUUUCUUUUAACUCUGCUUGUAAGUUCAGUGUCUAUUAUAUGAUUUUAAAAUAUUUUUGGAAAAUUAGAGAUCUUUGUUCAGAUGUCUCAACAUUUUUCUUUUCCAACUUGAUGUUCUGCAUAAACUUAAUAAAAGUAUACACAUAAUAUUAAAAUGUGAGCCUUUAAAAAUGGUUAAGAGACAAAAAAGGGAACCUCAACAUGAUAAGGAUAUGCUGAUUAACUUAAUAUACUCCACGUAUUAUGUGUUGCUAUGUUUUUCAUAAAUUUAAACAAAUAUCAUAGCUCAUCAAUAUAUGAAGGGAAGGUAUUUGGUGACAAAUCAGAAGACAGGGCAUUGAUUCAUAGUAACCUGACAAACCAGGUGACUUUUAUAACAUCUAAAAUGACCAACUAGGAAUGGUAGUACUCUAGAGCAAAGUUACAAUUUAUUUUAACUUCCGUGAGAGGUCAAGGCAAUACAGACAAAGCACACACAAUCUUUUCUUCUUGGAAAGCUUGAAAACGAAAGCUAUAUUCUGAAAAAAAUCAAUUUAGGAAAUAAAUAGAAGACUAGCAAAUAAUCCCAAGGAGAAAAUUACUAAAAUUUAGAAAUUAAGAUGUACCACAGAACACAUCAGAAAGGAAUGAAGAGAUGAAAACUAUUAAAAGUUGAAAGGCGAAGAACGGAUUGAGAAGCAUCAAUUUUAUUUAUAAGGAAUUUUCAAGGGAAGCAAUUAUUUAAAAAACUUAGGGAAAGAAAUAGUCAGAAAUGUUUGACAUUUUUCAGAAAUUGAAGAAAAUAUGUGAAUUCAUGGUAAAAAUUCAUCAAGAACAAGCUAAUUGAACAAAAAAUAAAGCAAUCACAUGUAGACAGAUCAUGGUCAAUGAAGACCCUUUAAUGUUUUUACAGAAAACUAACAGAAUAAUUCAUUUUUUAUAACCUAUGUCCCCAUCAUUUUCUAUAUAAACAUUAAUCAUUCUGUCUAUAUGGCUAACUUUAUACAUUUUUCCUAAUAUCCCUGGAAGCUAUGUCUUCACUUUUUGAAAUUCUAACCUUCCACUGUAUUUAAAAUGUUCAUUGGUUAUCUCAAGAAGAACUACUUUCCCUGCUGUAAUCACCUUCUGCUCCUCUUUUGUGAAUAUAUUUUAAUUACUUUCCUAACAUAUUAGCUUAUUAACCAAAGAAACACACUUAUAUUUUCAAAUUCUAUAUUUUUCCAGUGUUCUGUGUAUAGUAUACCCUCAGUAAACAUUUUUUAUAUAAAGCAAUAAAGGAAUGAACCAAGAUAAAGCUCUCCAGUUAUUCCCAGCAAUCAAAUAGGCUCUUACCUAAAUAUUUGCUUUAUUGGAAGACAUAGCAUUUUAAUACUUGGGAUAAAAAUAUCAUUGGAUGUCAUAAGUUUUAGUAAAAGUUGCUUAAUUAUAAUAAGUAAAAAGCAUCUUCCACAAAGAUGCUUGUACUUAGAGGGUUUGAGACAAAUAAGGAUUAAUAAAGUUUUCUUUAAGGCAAGUUAGACAAAGGAAAAAAAUUAUCUGUUUCCACCUCAGUAAUAUGAUUAGAUUUUCACUUAAUGCCAAAAAGGGAGAAAAUAACAUAAAUUCAUGUGCUUUGGGUUAAUAAUAACACAUUUCCUUAUAACAGAGAUUGAUAAAUGUUAGAAAUAAACAUUUUAAAUAAGGUUUCCUAUCAACAGAAACAUGAAAAAGGACUGACAUUCAUUUGUCCUGAAUUGUACUAGUGAGAUUCUGUGAGAUCUUGAGUAGGCUUUUUUUCUGAGCUACAAAUUAUCUAUGAUUACUUUCUGAGCUGUUAUCUUUUUGUUUCAUUCAUUCUGUUCAACUGGGGCCAUUCUUCAUUUCCCUGUUACCAUUUUACAUCAAGUUUGACCACUCUACUGAAAAUCAGUUUUCAUUUAUUGCUGCUAUUCCCUUCCCUGCCUUGACAUCAGGGGACAGUUUUAAGAACAAUUUUUUAAAAAUAGUCUAAUAAUUGUAGAAAAAAGGAAGCCUAUGUAUGAAUGUAUGCAUGCACGUAAGUAUCUAUGUAUAUAAUCAACCCAGAGGGAUUGAUAUGAAGAAUUUGGGGAGAUGAGUACUCUAGGUAUCAUAUUCUUCCUCCACAAACACUACAAGACAGGAAAAUACUUGUUUUUAAAUUAUUGGUAUUUUAUAAAUAUAUUUAAAUUGAUGUAGUAUUGUAUUGCACAAUGAGGAUUACAAAAACAUAGUAUUUGGCUGAUGAAAAAUUGUAUUUUAACUAUUAACUUUAAUUAAAAGUGAGAAUUUCCAAUACAUAUUCUUUAUAAAGCCGUAUAUGAACCCCAAAUAGCUCUUCAGAAAGAAUAAUAAUAAAUAAUUGCAUGAAAAAAGAAAGCAAAUGCUUGAAUUUUCACUUUCUGAAAUAACACAUAUAAAAAGUAAACAUUUCCAGCUCACAUCUGGUAAAGACGGAGAAAAUUAUUAUAGUGUUUGAUUUUAUGAGUGAUCAAAUUCUAAUUAGGUGGAGUUCCCAUAGUGGCUCAGCAGUAACCAACCUGACUAGGAUGACUAGGAUCCAUGCGGAUGCAUGAUUGAUCCCUGGUCUGGCUUUGCCACGAGCUGUGGUGUAGGUUGCAGACUUGGCUUGGAUCCCAAGUUGCUGUGUCUGUGGUGCAGGCUGGCAGCUACAGCUCUGAUUUGACCCCUAGUCUGGGAACUUCCAUAUGCCGUAGGUUUGG
rnacentral:lncRNA from 1 species